UUACUUGGGUUGUUUGCGCCGGAGGUCAAUGGGGCUUGGUUUUUUUAUAGAUUUUUUAUUUGUUUCUGGCUUCAUGACAUGUCAUUAUCAUGCACGGACCUGGAAUUACGUGGAACAGGCGUUUAAAGAUGAUGGCGUUACUGAUAAAUUGGGAAUUUGUAAUAUUGACAUUAGCCCAUCUUAACAAAGACGUUACAACUCGAUCAAAUGAGUCGCUCAAAGCACAGCAGUCUCCCGCGGACUUGGAGAGGCUGUAUUUGAGAGCCGCUGACGCUCACGAAGUUGACUGUGAACGGUAUGUCAACACUUCAGCGUUUUCAAGUGAUCCAGCGGACGACGCGACGAUCCAAUCCACUUUCAAAUGCCGUGCAUGUGAGGACCGCAGUCUGGUUAAUAAUGCGGACCAAAACGGAGCGAAUCCCUCGCAAAAUGGCGAAUUUGAGGAGAUUCUCAGAGGACCUGUGACUUGGCGAUUCUUGAGAGAUCAACAGAAUUCGAAUGGAGUCGUGGUGUCUGACGACUCUCGGCCUGUGUUCACUUGCGGCAAGAAACGCCUUUGGAUCAAGUUUUCCACGACGCGGCAUUCAAAUCCACGCUUGAUUAUCAAGACUGAAUGGGCAGAUUCACACACACAAAAGCAGUGCCGAUGCAUCCGAAGGAAUCAUGGGCCAUCAAUGCUGCUGAGGAUCUACUUCAAAGACUGCUAUGCUUCAAAUUGGACUCGAGAUGGAAGGAUGUACUACUCUUUAGGAGUACUUUACUUUGAUCACCUUCAAAAGAAGAGUUUCUCUGGCAUUGCCACCUGUCAUGCUGCCAUCCUGCCACAUGAUGCACCUUCUACAGAAGAAUCACCUGAAGUUAUCUGUGGAAAGCCAUUUGUGAUCGUAAAAUUACCAGCCAAGAGGAUUAAAAGUGUUAAAGUUUUGGGUGAGUACUUAGUGAUAAGUACUUAUGGAUAA
rnacentral:lncRNA from 1 species